CGCGUCAGACGCGGCUCCGCGAGGAAACCCGUUAUGCCCGACGACGGUAGAGCUGCCCAGUGCUGCUUGGUGGUUUUUUCUGUUCAUACCCAUUACCGAUGAAUUAAUAUCAAAGGAGGUGACCCUCUCCCCUCGCCCCCGCCUCCGCCGUCCCGAUGCCACGGAUAGCCUUGCCGUCCCAGAUCUCCGCGGUGGAGGAGGAAAGCCUAUACUUUGCACGUCCUCUCAGAACAGGAAAUGAGACUGUGAAGACUUUAUUACAACUUCGGGCAGCAGAUGAGUUUCAGAGAAAAUAUCCUUAUAAACACAAAUCAGAGACCUCUGUCAGACUUGACCCAUGGUUUCUGAGUGCAAAUGAGGAUUCCCGAUUACGGGGAGAACUGCGAGGAAACUUCAAGAUGACAUCUUUAUUCUCACAUCUCCAAGAACAUGCAGAAAGAAGUUACUGCUCUUAUACUGAGGCUCCCAGCAGGUCCUACAUAAACCAAGCCAGCUGCGGUUCAAGAAAAGGUCCAAAGGAGGACCCACUCGAGAGUGGGGUUGUCUAGAAGAAAUGAGAGACAGAGCAUCAAUCACAAUUAAAUUCUUCAGGAAGGUAAGAUGACUAGGAAUGCUAAACAGGAUGGCUGGAAACUAGAAAGACUUGCUACUGUCAUUAUUAACUCUGUGAAAGUGCAAACACUCCUUUGUCUUGCUGAAUGAUGGAGCUACACAUGCUCACGUGCUUUUAAGCGUCCCAAGGGUUUAGGGAAAAACCAAAAAAAAAAAAGUUUCAGGCUUAAGACUUCUGAGGCAGCUUUCUCUCUAACCCCCUCAAUGAGUUUAGUCAUGCAAGGAAAGAUUCUUUAAAGUUACCAAAGACUUUGUUUAAUGCCCAAGAAAAUGCAGACUGUCAGCACCCUUUGUCAGGUUUUGGUGGCUUAAGCCCAUUCUCCAAUACACUGGUGACCCUCCACCCUCAUUCACUAGUUUCUUUUUGACAUCAAGCGCUGGAUAAUUGUUUGAUUUCCUUCUAGGUAAAAGGAGAUUAAAUGCCCAGCUGCAACAGCUGACAUACAAAAGGGAAAAUAUAGUUUAACCACCAUAUUUAUCAAGAUAAUUUUUCUUCCACACACUGAUUAAUAACAUUAGCCAACAUCCCCUUUGGCUUGGGGAGAGAGAGGUGGGGAGAGACAUGUCCCCCUCAGAGUAUCAGAAACAGGAGUUGACAGUUCAAGGCAAAAAUGAUUUGCAUGUAAAUUCUCAUCAAAAGCAAGUCUGCACCCUGAAGUUGUCAAGUUUUGCUACCAAUUUGACACUUAAAUGGGCUAUAGCAAAACUUGAUUUAAACUGAAGAGGAAAAAAACAUGGCAACUCAAUUACCCCCUAGCAGAUCGGAUCUGGCAGCUGAGGUCAAACUUUUCACCCUGCCAUUACAUUUCUCAAUACCUGAUGCUUUAAACAAACACUAUGUAUUCCUCCUACAAUCCUGGAGGAAAACGCAUUUCUCAGGGCUCCCUACUGUGCCCCAGAUUAAAAAAUAAAUUUCACUUGUGUGGGAUCUGGGGCCAUUUUCUCCAUGUAAAUUUCUGAAUAAAUCAGGACUUAAGAAAUGGCCUUUUGCACUGGGAAAAAUAGUCUCUGCUUAAAAAAAAAAAAAAAAAAAGUUUGUGGGGAAGAUUUGUGGAGUAUUAAAAGAUGACUUAAAAACAAAUAUUCCCAUAACAUUAGAGGCAAAACGGUGACCUGUUUUUAGUUUGCUUUUAAUAUAUUUCAUAUUUGAGCUUAGGCUGAACAGCACAUUAAUUCAGCAGGGAGAAAAACAGCUAGCUAGUUCCAAAUCGGCUCCAAAUUUAUGGAGGACAAAGUAUCUCAUAAGGCCCUGGGACAAAGGCUCAAAUCCAGGAAAGACCCAGUUGGCCUCUGGGAAUUCCGUCCCACCAGGGUUUGAAUGCUGCGGUUGCCUAGGCUAUUCAAUCCCUGCAAGAGUUCUCAUUCCUGCAACAACUAUUUAAACCAACAGUUGUUAAAACUCUUCUUAUAAGUGCCCUAAAGCAGAUCCAAAACUGUUUUUUUCCUUUUUAAAAAAAAAACAACAAAACUUGUUUCCCUAAGUUUGUUUUAAGCUCUUCCUGUAAAAGCAAUGAGUUUAUUGACUCUGCAUUCACCAUAAUUUCUAGUUCUUAUAACAGGUAGCCAGGUAACACAUAGGGAAUUAUUUUACUUUUUUAGCCAAUAAACACAUUACAUAUUUACUGGAUGCCAGGCACUCUUCUGAACACUAGGGGCCCAAACAUGAGUAAUAGCUGCUUACAGUUGGGAAGACAAUCACAUACACAACUAAUUACAAUAGUGUGGGAUAAGCACUGCAAGAAAGUAAUAUUCAAAGUAUAUGAG
rnacentral:lncRNA from 1 species